rnacentral:tRNA from 1 species
UGCCGGGAUAGCUCAGUUGGUAGAGCAGAGGACUGAAAAUCCUCGU